rnacentral:rRNA from 1 species
GACGAACGCUGGCGGCGUGCUUAACACAUGCAAGUCGAACGGAAAGGCCCUGCUUUUGUGGGGUGCUCGAGUAGCGAACGGGUGAGUAACACGUGAGUAACCUGCCCUUGACUUUGGGAUAACUUCAGGAAACUGGGGCUAAUACCGGAUAGGAGCUCCUGCUGCAUGGUGGGGGUUGGAAAGUUUCGGCGGUUGGGGAUGGACUCGCGGCUUAUCAGCUUGUUGGUGGGGUAGUGGCUUACCAAGGCUUUGACGGGUAGCCGGCCUGAGAGGGUGACCGGCCACAUUGGGACUGAGAUACGGCCCAGACUCCUACGGGAGGCAGCAGUGGGGAAUAUUGCACAAUGGGCGGAAGCCUGAUGCAGCAACGCCGCAUGCGGGAUGACGGCCUUCGGGUUGUAAACCGCUUUCGCCUGUGACGAAGCGUGAGUGACGGUAAUGGGUAAAGAAGCACCGGCUAACUACGUG